rfam:Gongylonema pulchrum genome assembly, scaffold: GPTH_contig0017989
CCCGCUGAAUUUGGGCAUAUAACUAAGCGGAAGAAAAGAAACUAGCAAGGAUUUCCCUAGUAACGGCGAGUGAACGGGAA